AGAGUUUGAUCAUGGCUCAGGACGAACGCUGGCGGCGUGCUUAACACAUGCAAGUCGAACGAUGAAGCCCAGCUUGCUGGGUGGAUUAGUGGCGAACGGGUGAGUAACACGUGGGUGAUCUGCCCUGCACUUCGGGAUAAGCCUGGGAAACUGGGUCUAAUACCGGAUAUGACCAAGGACUGCAUGGUUUUUGGUGGAAAGGUUUACUGGUGCAGGAUGAGCCCGCGGCCUAUCAGCUUGUUGGUGGGGUAAUGGCCUACCAAGGCGACGACGGGUAGCCGGCCUGAGAGGGCGACCGGCCACACUGGGACUGAGACACGGCCCAGACUCCUACGGGAGGCAGCAGUGGGGAAUAUUGCACAAUGGGCGAAAGCCUGAUGCAGCGACGCCGCGUGAGGGAUGACGGCCUUCGGGUUGUAAACCUCUUUCAGCAGGGACGAAGCGCAAGUGACGGUACCUGCAGAAGAAGCACCGGCCAACUACGUGCCAGCAGCCGCGGUAAUACGUAGGGUGCGAGCGUUGUCCGGAAUUACUGGGCGUAAAGAGCUCGUAGGCGGUUUGUCGCGUCGUCUGUGAAAACCCGCAGCUCAACUACGGGCUUGCAGGCGAUACGGGCAGACUUGAGUACUGCAGGGGAGACUGGAAUUCCUGGUGUAGCGGUGAAAUGCGCAGAUAUCAGGAGGAACACCGGUGGCGAAGGCGGGUCUCUGGGCAGUAACUGACGCUGAGGAGCGAAAGCGUGGGUAGCGAACAGGAUUAGAUACCCUGGUAGUCCACGCCGUAAACGGUGGGCGCUAGGU
rnacentral:rRNA from 1 species